GUGGGGAAUAUUGGACAAUGGGCGAAAGCCUGAUCCAGCCAUGCCGCGUGUGUGAAGAAGGUCUUCGGAUUGUAAAGCACUUUAAGUUGGGAGGAAGGGCAGUAAGUUAAUACCUUGCUGUUUUGACGUUACCGACAGAAUAAGCACCGGCUAACUUCGUGCCAGCAGCCGCGGUAAUACGAAGGGUGCAAGCGUUAAUCGGAAUUACUGGGCGUAAAGCGCGCGUAGGUGGUUUUGUAAGUUGGAGGUGAAAUCCCCGGGCUCAACCUGGGAACUGCCUCCAAAACUGCAUGACUAGAGUACGGUAGAGGGUAGUGGAAUUUCCUGUGUAGCGGUGAAAUGCGUAGAUAUAGGAAGGAACACCAGUGACGAAGGCGACUACCUGGACUGAUACUGACACUGAGGUGCGAAAGCGUGGGGAGCAAACAGGAUUAGAAACCCCGGUAGUCC
rnacentral:rRNA from 1 species